CUGAAUAUCUGUACACAUUUACCAUUGUGUUUUGAGGAACUCAGCAUGAAUACUUUUUAAUGUCUCAGUUCCAGAUCUCUCUGGUUUUUGGACAGCCACACCACUAUCUUUUAUCAUUAUUUUGUUUUUAGGUGAUGUACUUGUUGCCGUAAAUGAUGUUGAUGUCACCUCUGAAAACAUAGAAAGAGUUUUGUCUUGCAUUCCUGGACCUAUGCAGGUGAAACUGACAUUUGAAAAUGCAUAUGCUGUGAAAAAGGAAACAACCCAACCAAGAAAGAAAAAGGCACAGUUGAACACAAAUGAUUUAGUCAAACUUCUAUGGGAAGAAGAGGCUGAAGGCACCCAGCAGAAUAUCCUUAAUGCUCCUCAUAUCAUCAUGUAUCUCACACUACAGCUCGACUCAGAAACAUCAAAGGAAGAGCAAGAAAUUCUUUAUCAUUAUCCAAUGUCUGAAGCAUCUCAGAAACUUAAAAGUGUGAGAGGGAUUUUUCUCACACUCAGUGACAUGCUGGAAAAUAUAACGGGGACACAAAUUACUAGCUCAUCCCUCUUUUUAAAUGGAAAACAAAUUCAUGUAGCUUAUUUGAAAGAAUCUGAGAAGUUGUUGCUAAUUGGCCUGCCUGCUGAAAAAGUUCCUCUUCCUCAACUAAGGAAUAUGAUACGAGAUAUUGCCCAAACCUUAAAAUUUAUGUAUGGUUCUUUAGAUAGUGCCUUUUGCCAGGUUGAGAAUGUUCCCCGUUUGGAUCAUUUUUUCAACUUGUUCUUUCAAAGAGCACUUCAGCCUGCUAAACUACAUUCCAGCGCCAGUCCCACUGUUCAACAGUAUGAUGCCGCCAGUGCAGUACUCUUAGACAAUCUCCCUGCAGUUCGGUGGCUCACACUUCCACAGGAAAUCAAGAUGGAAUUAGACACAGCAUUAAGUGACUUGGAGGCUGCAGAUUUUGCAGAACUGUCUGAAGAUUACUAUGACAUGAGACGGCUAUAUACAAUUUUGGGGUCUUCUCUAUUUUACAAGGGCUACUUGAUAUGCAGUCAUUUGCCUAAGGAUGACCUUAUUGAGAUUGCUCUUUACUGUCGCUACUACGGGCUGCUGCCUUUAGCAGCAAAACAGAGAAUUGGUCAGUUGAUAAUAUGGAGAGAAGUGUUUCCUCAUCAUCACCUCCAACCUUCCUCAUCCUCAAACACUGAAGUCUUUCAGGAACCUGAAGGGAGAUAUUUUUUGCUAAUUGUCGGAUUGAGACAUUAUAUGUUAUGUGUACUAUUAGAAGCUGGAGGCUGUGCAUCCAAAGCUAUUGGGAAUCCUGGCCCAGACUGUAUAUAUGUGGAUCAAGUCAGAACUACUCUUCACCAGCUAGAAGGGACAGAUUCCCGCAUAGAUGAGCGGCUAACAUCUUCUCCAAGUCCCUGUUUGUCCUGUGCUGACUGGUUCCUUGCCGGGCCACGUGAAAAAACAGAUGGUUUAGCCACUUCACCUAUCCUUAGUAGGCUACAAGGUACUUCCAAAGCUGCAACUUCUCCAACAUGCAGAAGAACCCUUUUUGGUGACUAUUCCUUAAAGACACGGAAGCCUAGUCCCUCCCGAAGUAGUGGAGGAUCUGACAAUGGUUGUGAAGCUAUAAAAGGUGUUGGCCUUAGCCCCCACCCUACACCGGAUGCAAUACGGAAGCAGAGAGAAUCUCAGGGCUCUGAUGGUUCAGAAGAAAGUGGAGCCUUGCUUAAGGGUACUAAAAAGAAGUCUACUCUUCCAAAUCCAUUUCAUUUGGGAAAUUCAAAAAAGGAUCUUUCAGAAAAAGAAUUAGAAAUAUAUAACACAAUGAAAUUGACAUCUGGUCCUGAGAACACACUUUUCCACUAUGUUGCCUUAGAAACAGUACAAGGAAUCUUCAUUACACCUACCCAUGAAGAGGUGGCACAGCUAGGUGGCUCUGUGCACUCUCAACUAAUAAAGAAUUUCCAUCAGUGUUGUCUUUCUAUUCGUGCGCUUUUCCAAAAGACAUUGGUAGAAGAGGAAAAGAAAGCACUAAAUGGCACAGAUCAUUUGGAGUCUACAAAUUCAGCGUCUUCUUUGAAUCCUGUGAAAGAACAUGGUGUGUUAUUUGAAUACUCACUUGAAAACUGGACUGAUCAGAAAAAAACACCACCAGUUAUGGCUUACUGGGUAGUAGGGAGACUCUUUCUUCAUCCAAAACCUCAGGAACUUUAUGUCUGUUUUCAUGACUCAGUCACAGAAAUUGCCAUUGAAAUGGCUUUUAAAUUAUUCUUUGGAUUAACGUUGUAGUUGUGUUUUUAUGAUAUAUAGCGACACAUGCAUGGAUCAUAGAAUAGUGUUAGAAUUGCUGAAAUUGAUAUACAGAGAAAAGGUUUAGUUUUUCACUAUUCAUUAUUGGAUAUUAUUUUGUUAAAUAUUAAGAUGAAGUGCUGUUGCAUUUGAUGCAUCAAAUCUUACUGUGAGAUGAUCAAAAUAUGAAGGGAUUAUUUAUUGCUAUCUUGGUACAUAAUGUUAAUUUAUUGUCUAAUUUGAAGUAAUGUGAAGUGUUUCAUAUAAAAUAUAUAGUGGACAUAUUUAUUAUGGGGACAUACCCAAUUUGUUGUUUAUUUUUCUCAAAACUAAUUGAUAUCUGUUGAAAGAAUCAUGAUUUUGGGAGGAGGUGACCAGGUUCUGUACUUAAUCAGUGUGGUGACAUGAGCAAGUAUUUGUUUUUUUCUGAGCUCAGAGUUUUCAGGUACCAGUAACGUUAUUGCCUUGAGGUUUUGAAAAUCCUCUUAAGUAAAAUCUGCUGUUGUGUUGUGUUUUGUUUUUCUUGCCUAGUGGUCAGUACCUAAAUUUGUAAUGUCCAAGUACUGAUUUCCUAGCAGAUCAAAUUCAUUAAAGUAUUUCAAUAGAUACCUCAGCUGCAGGGGAGGAUGGGAAAGAUGAAAAGUAAACUUUUUAUUUAUUUGAUUCUGUUUGCUCUUUUAAGUAAGCUCCAUUUUUACUAGGAUGUAUUUUUUAAAUUGUUAACUUCCAUUGUUGUUUCUUUUUGUUGAAGUACAUUCAGGUAGACACAUGUAUUUUAGACGGUUCAUGAGUUUUGGGAAGGUUGUACAUGAAUCUUUUAAAAACACAAUUGUUCUUUGGUAAAAUACUAAGUUUUAUCUUAUAAAUACAGAUCAUUAUGUAUAGGGUUUUUCUAAAGGGGGAGUACUUUAAUGAAUAAUAGUUUAUUUCACCUUUAAUAGAAAAAAAUCUGUUGAAAAUUUUCUUUGGCUCUGAGAAUUUGGUAGAUAAGAGAAAGGAAGAAUAAAACAAAUACUGCAUUUUUAAUUGAUAGUCACCCAGUGGAUCCUCCUGCAGACUCAUAUUCCCUCAAAACUUUUCAAUACUGGGUUGUUUAUUCCUUCGAUUCUGGGUUGUUUGUUGAAAGAUAAAUUAUACCAGCCAAUCUAAAAUCAUUCUCCACAUUUCCCCCUCACAAGAGACCACUAGCUUGAACUAACUGCAAGACAUAGUAGAUGCAACACUUGAGUCGCUUGGUCUUAGAAGCAGUGUUAUCCCUCUGUCAUCAGUUUAAGAGAUUGUCACCCAGUUGUUUAAGAUGUAAACCACAGCACAUUUAUUUCAUUAGAGACUUGUGGGCCUUUAUUUUGGCAUCCAAGUCAGGAUAAGAAACUUUAGUUUUUGAACUAUUAUAGAUAUAUAUCUUGAAGUAUUUUUCCCUUAAGAUCACAAUAUUGAAUAAGUGGUAGACUACUGUCUUAUGUGUGCAUAUAUUUGUAUUAAGGUACUUUGUUUAAAUAUAUUUAUUAAAUGUCUUAAAAUUCUGGAUAUGGCCCCCAAAACACCAUGAACUACUUCUAAUACUAAUAAUUAUUAAACGUAACUGUUGAGCACCUCAGGUUUUCACUGACAGAAUUAAGACUUGGAAUCUUAAUAUAGGGAACUUUGUGCUUCAUUUAAUAGUUUGAUCUGCUGAUACUUUCCUGGCAUCAAAGAAUCAUGAGUCCUCUCCUUAGUGAAUAAAAUAAAAUGCAAAGUAGACUGAUGAUCUUAACAAAAGGAAGAUCAUUUGCUAUAUUGUAUAUAUGUACUGUAAUUUCCAUGUUCCAGAGGCAGUGCUUUUGGGAGAGGGUGAAGAACCUGGGGCCUUCUCAUUGAGCUACAUACCAGCCUUAAUUUUUUUUUUUCUUUUUUUAGACAGGGUCUAGUUAAGUUGCUAAGUUGCCCAGGCUGAGUUUGAAUUUGUGAUCCUUCUACCUCACCCUUUCAGAGUGCUGGGAUUACAGGCAUGUACCACCACAUCUAGCUGGCAUUGCAUUCUUUUUUUUUUUUUUUUGCAUUCAUAAAAAGUAAAACUAGGGCCAGGGAUUUAGCUCAGUGGUUACGCCGCCUGUCUUGCAAGCGCAAGGACCGGAGUUCAAUCCCCAGUACCAACAAAAAAAAAGUAAAACUAAACAUCUUGCUUUUCAUCUCUAAAUGAACACUGAAGAUAGCAUUAAGUAAAUUUAGCUGACCACUUUUCCAAAUAUGUUGAAAUUUACAUCUGAAAGUAUAUAAAUCUUAUUAUUGGAUAAUAAAGCAGCUAUUUAUUACUUUACAAAGUAUUUAGGGGAAUAGUGAUAGUGCAGAUACCCCAGGGACAUUACUUAGCAGAAAAUAAAAAUGCAUUUUAUUAGCAUCCUUUUAAUUUUCUCUCCCACCAAAGACUAUUUGAAAAAAUAUGUAUAACUAGCAUUUUUUAAUAUCAAGUACUAUCAAAUAUUUUUUAGCCUUAGAGAAUUACGUUAGACUGUAUAUUUUUCUCUCCUUCCUUCUCUUUUUCUCUUCCCCUUUCUUUGUUUAGGUUUUGUUUUUGUCAUGUCAGAGAACUCUAUAGCAAGGGAAUAUUUCUUACUUGUGCCAAGGGACUAUUGAUGAUGAUGUAUACUGACAUGAUAGUAAUUUUGUAGUACCUGCCUUUUUAUAUUUCUAAUUUAAAUGAAGAAAGCUGUAAGACCAAUUUACUAGAUUUGUCUUCUUUGAACAUUAUUUUUUGUUUGUUGUAUUCUAAUGACUGGUACAUAUUAUGUGCUAUAAAAGUGUUAGCUAUUACUCUUAUUUAUUAAUAUACAUUGGUUGAAAACCAAAGGAGUCAGCUAAACCAUAUCUGCUGCUGUAUACUGUGUUGGAAAGAAACUGAGAAAUAAUAUUCAUCACUAACCAGUUUUGAGAACAAAGAUUUGAAUAUUUUAAAACAUUAAGUGGUAUUAAACCUUUAAUCUGUAUGUACCUAACUGUAUGCAAUAAUUUAAUUUUGUAGAAUUUUAUUUCUAUAUUCUUUAUAAUUAAAGCUAUUUUUAUACUGUGUUGAUAGUUUUAAAUAAAACAGUUUGUAGGCUUGUCUGCAUUUGUGUUGCCUUUUCAUGAAUACAUCCAACAAAUAUUUAUUGAAUUUCUACUCUCUGCCAAGCAGUCCUCUUGCUACUGAGGAUAUAGCAAUGAACAAAAUAGCUUGAGAUUUCUUCCAUCAUGGAAUUUAUCUUCCAAUGGCAGAGGCAGACCACAGACAAGUAAAUGCGAAGAGACAAAAAUUAGUGAAGCAAGAAAACGGGAGAUGAAUUACAGCAAAUAUGGUGGCCAGGGAAAAGGUUACUGAUGGGACCCCAGCCCUGAUGUGAGGAAACUUAACCGUGCUGAUUUCUAAUGAGAAAUGAGUAAAUAUUGCAAAGGUCCUGAGACUGUAGUUUUAAUAUUAACAUAAAUUGCUAGAACUUUUUUCCUUCAAUAAAUAAAUAAAAUGUAACGCAUCAG
rnacentral:lncRNA from 1 species